CAAAAGUGCCAAUGAAACAAUUCAUGGAUAAGAUUUCAUUCACAAAAGUCAAUUCAUCUGUGAUAAUUAAUAUUCCCCUAUUUGGAUACGAUGUAGCUGUAAAAUUUUUCCAAUUUUCAUCAGAAUUACAGAAGAAUUGAGGAGUUCCUCGAUAUUUUCCGCCAUUUUGUCGCCCCCAUUUCCAAGCAUAAAAUGGCGGUAGUGUGUGGUCGCUUCUCUGACUCUUCAUUUCUUCAGUGAUCCUGCGAAAAAGUUAGCUGAACCCAGAUGAUCUCGGUGGAUUUUUCAUAGAUUUUCAUCUCCAGAAUUCAUGAGCUCCUGCUUCGUUCUCUUCAGCAGAGGGUCUUCAUGGCAGUAAGUUUGAGAAAUAUUCCGUUGUCCACGUUUUCCAGGGAAUUCAUAUUUGAAAUGAAGAAUUUCAAUGUUGGAAUAACAAAUUUCUGUUUUGAUUCGAAAGAACAUGGGUCCAGUGACCUAUUCCAUCCGAAUUACCAUAUUUUUUUCUUCAUGAUGACCACAUGGUGAUGUCACUCUGCUCUGCAUGACCUUCACUGGUUCAACCGUAGGUGUGUCGACUGAUGUGUCCGGCACGGUAAAGCAUGGAAUCAUCGUUUUGCUGAUCGUCAGGUGCGAUUUGGUCAGCGAGAAAUUUAUUUAUAUACACAGGAGAAUUCAGUGAAGAAAUUUUUAACUAUUUCUGUUACAGAUUUUAGGGGGAAAUUUUGAAAAUGAAAUUCCAUCUCUCAUUCCCUUAAUUUUAAUGAAACUUAAAAAUAAUUAUA